UGGACAGUCUCAACUCCAGAACUAAUUGCUUUGCAAAAUGUGUGACUCCGGGCAAGCAACCUGGGCUCAUGCACAAUGCCCUCCCCACCUCCCCUCUCCUGAGGGCUCCUGGAGACAAGUACGGCUCCCUGUAGGACAGAGCCACUGCCCUCCCACCCUCUCCACCUCAGGACGCAGGUGGGCACUUUCACAGGACCAGAAGGGGUGCUCAGAGAGUUGCUGUUUUUGGGUUAUAGCCCCUCAAAUUCCUGGGAAGGGCUGAGGCCUGGUCCCCUGACCCCCACCCCAUUGGCCCUGGCUAGGACCCUCUAUAUACUCCUGGGAACCGCUAUAUGCUGCAGGUGCAGCCCUAAAAAGACAAAAGACAAAAAAUAAAUAAAUAAAAAGAAAGAAAAAAGAUAAUAAUAAUGAUGAAAAGCAUCAUCAUGAAAAAUAAGUAUACCAUUUCUUAAGAUGCAUGCAGUAACAGCUUUUACCCAAAAGGUUCUAUAUGCUGUAAGACUCUUCCUCCUAAAAACUUUCAGGUUGCUCUCGUCCUCCAGCUCAUUUACUCAGGGGUUACAUCUGUGACUUAGACAAAAAUGUGAUUAUUUUACAUGCCCUACCCUAGUCAGGAAUAAAGCAUUUCAUUUGAGGGGCUGCGGCCAGAGACGCUAUGGCAGAGUAAGACUAAUGUGAGCUAUUGUCAUCUGCUCAGAGCAAAGAUGAAUGUAGAGUCCUUCCUCUGUUGCAGGCCCUCUGCCUUCAUAAGUCAGAGUAGAUGAUAUGAUGUCAGAUCCCCACAUGGAUCUUUUGCUGCUAUUCCACAGAGUAACUCUUAUGACCAAGGUGCUUGAUUUUACUUAAGCCAACCAAGAGCUGGCUUUCAGAAAAUAAUGAUCUAUUAAAUGUAAUUCUUUGAUUUUUCAAAUGAUUUUUCCUCUGCUCUGAGAAAUAUUUAUAUGAGUAUUCCUAUUUAGGCUUUAUAUUUAUAAAGUAAGAUUUAUAUUUAUAAAUUAAUAUUUAUAAAGUAAGAUUUCAUUUGAAUAUGUUAACCUCUCAGUAUAUUAUUUAUUUUUUUUUAUUUUUUUGUCUUUUUUUGCCAUUUCUUGGGCCGCUCCCAUGGCAUAUGGAAGUUCCCAGGCUAGGGGUCGAAUUGGAGCUGUAGCUGCUGGCCUACAGCACAGCCACAGCAACGUGGGAUCCAAGCUGCAUCCACAACCUACACCAAAGCUCAAGGCAACGCUGGAUCCUUAACCCACUGAGCAAGGCCAGGGAUCGAACCCACAACCUCAUGGUUCCUAGUUGGAUUCAUUAACCACUGAGCCACAAUGGGAACUCCCAACUUCUCAGUAUAUUAUACAUGUGAAUUUUUUUUUAAAUUAUCUGACCACUUUUUAGCCAUCUAGAACUCCAGGAACGUGGUGAUCAAGUAGAGUACUGAACACAGUACUGCUUAUUGACAGUAUAAGCCAGUCUGCUUACUGACAUAGAACAAGGCCUGGAGCCAUACUGGGCUGAGAAAAGGAUAUGUUGGUCCCAUCCUUUGGACCUAGAACCAUGCAUGCCCCAUGGCUGAGCAAACUGAACAAAGCUCCCCAAGGUGGGGCGAGCUUGAGGAAUAUGAACGAUCUGGUUAACCAAAGCAUGUUCCCUUGCCAAGUGGUGUAUAUAAUCCUGGGAUAGAACCAAAGGGUUCCGGACAAGGGAAGGGACCCAUCAUGUGACCAGAAGGCAUGAAGUUCUAGGAUGUGCCCAGCUUCAGACACCUACCCAGCCCUUCAGUCACGGAGCUAUAUCUGUUUCUGAAGAAGGUGGUAAAGGUCAGUUGAGGAUGCAAGACACAACCACUGGGAGAAUAAUAUAGAGUUCUAGCUUGAUGGUUUUUUCCCCCCCUCACAGCAUUUUGAAGAUAGUGUCCUGUCAUUUUCAGACUUCUAUAAUUGCCAAUGGGAAAUAUGUUGUCAGUCUGCUUGUUCUUCCAUUGUAAGUAAAUUGUAUUUUCCCUUUGGUUACUUUUAAAGUUUUUCUCUUUGUCUUCGGUGUUCUGAAGUUUCACUAUGAUGCCACUAAGUAUGGAUUUAUUUUUAUUUAUUUUGCUCAGGACUCAAAUUUCUUCAAUCUGAAGAUAUGCAUCUUUCUUCAAGGAUGUGCAAAAAAAGAUAUUGUACAACCAUCAUAAUGGCAAAAAUUAAAACUUAUCAAGUGUUGGCAAGGAUAUGGGAAAAAUUCUCAUAUGCUACCAAUGAGAAUUUAUAAAUGAUUACAACAUUUUUGGGGUGCCAUCUGGGGGUACUAGCAAAACAGGAUAACCUAAGAUCAAGCAAUUAUAAUUUUAGGCACCAAUCCUGAGAAAACUUGCAUUCAUAGAAAAAGGAGAUACAUGCACAUCUGUUCAGUGAAGCAUUGUUUGCCAUUGGGAAAAAAAGAGAAAGAAAUUAAUCAAAAUGUUCAAUAGGAGGAUAUAUGAAUCUUUAACGUAAUUUUCAAAAAUAAAAUCCUGAACAGCAGUUAAAACAAAUGAAUCAGAUAUACUCACACAAGGUAGGCAAAUUUGGAAGACAAAAUGAGAAAUACAAUAAAGUAAAAAGUAGAUGAUAAAUGCAACACAAUUCCCUAUGGAUAAAUUUUAACCACCCACAAUACUAUAAUUGCCCAAUAUGUAGAAACCAUGAGAUUUCACAUUUUCUACAAUGCACUAAAAUAAAAAAAAAGGAAACAGGAUAAAAGGCAAUCCAAGAAAUAUUUAUCCUCUUGGAAAUCAAAAAGAAGAUCUAAAAUAAUUCCUGGUUUGAAGAAAUAACAGAAAUUAAAAGCUACAUAGAAAUGGUCAACAGUAUUAGCCAGACACAGAUGUGUUCGUGGAGCUAAGGGAGACUAGUGAUCAGUCCGGGGUCUCUCCAAGGUUACAAGUCUUAGAAAGCAAAGAUACUUGUUCUGAGUCCAUUUUUUUUCUGGGUUUUCCUGUGGCUUCUGCUGGUUUCUGACAUGGGGAAAAGGGGGGAAGAGUUAGAAUGUACCCCUCUCUCCAUCUCUCCCAACCUUCCUUUAGUAACAAGUAGGAAAGCACAAUAGAAGAUAAAAGAACGUAGUAGAAUGUAGAGGGAUGUAACAUGGGCAAUGUUAGGUGGACAGAAGUUCAGAGCAAAGGAGAAGGCAUGGGGGCAGUGUUGUCUACGGGCUGGGGUCGAAAUGCACAGGCAGACACCUGAUGCACCAACAAGGUCAUGGAUUUCUGUCCUUGAGUGAGGGCAGCCAGACCCAGCCAAGCUCAAAGGGCAAGUGAGGAUACAAGAGCAACACCAGAGGAAGUCCUGCUCAAGGUGUAGGGCUGGGGUGAGAGGGAGUGCCAGGAGAAGUGGGGAAGCAUGCUCGAUUCAGCUGAGCUUUAGCUCAGAAAACCAUGCUCCUGGAAAGAGGAAGCUGGCCAAGUACUGUUCCAAGGCAGCGGGAGGGCGAAGCCAGAGCAUCCUGCUUCUUUACGUGGGGAGGCCAGUUCUCUGUGGAAGUGGCAAUACAAAGGCAGGGGAAUUGAACUACUCAGAACCUUCAGGGAGAAAUAUUUCCUGCCCAAAUUCAGGUGCUAAACAAACAACAAAAUGAGAACCUCUACUAUGAAGAGUUUCCAACCAUGAGAUAUCCGAGGACAUUACAUUCCUGGGAAUAAAGCCAGGGGUGCCAUGACAGACAACUAGAAAGAACAACUUAGUGGGCCAGCCCCACUCCAGUAAGACCCAAGGAGGAAACUUCAUAUUCCUUUAGACUGUUUUAGCUUUUGGCAAAGCCAGACCCCAUGCUCCAAGCUUGCUGGGUUCUAUCCUCCAUAUCAUCCAGAAGAUACACUGUUACUGCAGAAGGUGACACUGAGGAGAGAGCGCGGUGUAUAUUUAUUCAUGUAAAAAAAACCCUGGGUAUAAGCACAGCAAUGUUAAUAACUAGAAAUUACUGAAUUUUCUAUGUUGUCUGUUGUGGAAAUAAAGCCCUCUGGGGAUGGAUCAAAAAUAUCUGGAAAUUACUUGAAACUGGUGAAUAACUAAAUGGAAUGAUAACUAAAAUGUACUGUAAUCCAAUUGUAUUUUUUGUCCUUUAAGGGUUGUUUCCAGGGAGCACUAUGCAGUGAAUGUUACAAAAAUGACAUAAAACUCCAAAAGCUACUCUAUGUAAAUUUCUUGAGUGGGAAUUCUCAUGAUGUUUGGCAUAUUACUCUGAUAAUUGUAUAUGUCAAUUGGUUUUAUGUUCUGACAUUUUGACCGCUUUGGGGAAAAAUGAGGUGUAUACCCAGAGUUUUCCUGGCAAAUGCUUAAAAACUGGCCCUCUGGGUGGAAAAUCCUGAUUGAUGGUGUUUGCCAAUUUCCAUGGUGUAAAUACUACUUCCACUCUGGCUGACUGCAAGCUAUGAAUGUGCUAUCAUUGAGUGCAGAACUGGGAAAGGAUGUGCAAUGUGGACACUUGUGAGUCCAUACAAGCCACUGUAUAUACCCAGGAGCCUGUGUGAAACUACAGUUUUUUACUAAAAAUAUUGCCCCAUAAAUAUACAAAGGUACCAGUGGAAGAAAAAAUAUAAAGGGAAAAUAAAUUCAAAUUGGAAGUUCAAAUGGAGAAAAUAACAGGAUUUUUUCAACUUUGUCUAUAUGCUACAUUUUAUUAUUAUAUGUUUAAAAGAAAACAAAGUAUCUAUGUGUCAUCUCCAGUGUUCUGAACUCUUAGUUUCUUUGGUGUUCCCUGAGAUGGAGGCUAGGGUUUCUUUCCUUUCAGAUAUUGGUGCUAAGAUGAUGCUGUCCAAAGAAUUGAUGGGACCUGCUCACUGUGAAGCCAGUUUCAGGAUGGCUGAGCUGAGAGUGGUGACAGAAGAAAAGAUGAGGAGCCUUCUGAAUUUGGGGAGGCAACACUUAUAUUUAUAUGUGUGGUUUGGUAUGAUAAUAUAUUGCUUUAAAAGUUAAUGCUAAUGGAAACAAGAAAAAAGCAGUUGUUCAAAAAUUGAAAAAAAUGGAUUAAUAAACUCUUCUAUU
rnacentral:lncRNA from 1 species